rnacentral:lncRNA from 1 species
GCUUCCAAACCCAAAGCUCAAACAAAUGUCGCUGAGAAGAAAGGAAAAGAAAAAUCUGUUGAGAAAAAGGAAGAAAUCAUCAAAGUAAGUGAUGCUAUCUCUCCUUUGGGUAAUAAACCUAGUAAAGGAAGUUCUAAAAGGAAAAGAAGGGAUUACAAAUCUAAGUUUUCUCUGUCUAUGUCUGAUUUGGUGUUUGAUUCGAAUGUUAACACAUCUGAGAAAAC